ensembl:lncRNA
CAAGGAGAGGAAGAAAGGCCCUGAGUGGCUGCUGUAGUUUCCUGUGUGUCAGACUUCCAGUAAUGAUUAGUGUCACUUUUACCUCCCCAUGCCGUCACAGUGUGUGUCAACACGCUUUCUUCUGACACUUAACGGCAUCAAGACCAAACCAAGGAGUAUAAUCAGCGAAACACAAGAGGUUUGCAAUGGUGCAAUGUCUGGUGUUCACACUGCUCUGGGUCUGUGCUGUGGCACUGCUUUCCCUUGGGAGUACAGAGAGAGUAUCUCAAACGACUGAGCCAAGUGUCUCUAGGAGCACAGACCCGACGGCUGAGACAGUUACUUUAGGACCAGUUGAGACCCAAAGCCCUGGUACACACACAGACCAGAGCAUAGAAGAAGAACAAGAACCACUUCCCUCAGACCCCUGUCAGGAUGACGAGUUGGAUAAGAGGGUGUACCAGAGGGAUUCUCAUGGUGUUAUGCAGCUGGUUCAGGGAGAGGACUACAAAAACACUUGCAACCUAUCAGACACUCCAGGUGAACAGGCCCACUGUCUUAUCUACCCUACCAAUCAACUCAACUGCUCCUGGAAUUUCCAUGGUCUCCCUAACGACAGCCAAUCCUACGCCUCCGUCUUUGUGUGUAAGAAAACUGAGAGAAUCUCCAGUGUGGACUGUGUCACUGAGGCCACAGGAGGCCAAGGAGCCCAGGGAGGGACUGGAAAGGCUGACCGUGUGGUUGGAAAUGUGUCUGCUGGGUGCCAAGGCAGUGUGGACAACAGCGCCACCUCGGUGAUCCUGACUUUCAACGUGUCAUGCUCUGACGUGUGGGGCAUCUACACCCAUAAAUACCAGACCAAAGAUAUUGAUGUGCUGCGCCCGCCCCCCGACAUCAACCUAGCCUGGGUCAGAGAGGGGGUUCUGCUGGUGCAGUGGGGUCUCCCAUCCAGCCGGUCACGCAACAAAUCCAGCUGCUUCCACUACCAGCUACAGAUCAAUGACCAGGUGAGGAACUUUACGGGUUUACUGACAUACAAUGAGACCAACGCAGACCCUACACAUUCACACAAUGUGAAGAUGAGGGUGAGGAAGAGUAAAACCUGCAGAGGAUCUCAACACUGGAGCAGCUGGAGCAACACCACCAAGGUGGCCCCGUUUAAAUUUCCCAAUCAGCUGAACUCUCUGGUGGUCGUUGGCAUCGCUCUGGGAAUACCCAUGAUCCUCCUGUCUCUGCUGCUGCUGAUUCGACUCCAGAGGGAACGUCUGUUUCCCCACAUCCCUGGUCCCCCACUGAAGAUUAAACACCUCUUGGAGAGAGACGACCAGUUUCAGUUUGUCCCUCAGGCCCUGCAGCCCAAAUUUGUUGAGGAGAUCACAGUGGUGGAGGAAGCUAAGGAAACACCUGUGAAUUUGGCCAGUUAAACAAGAUGGCCUGUUUAAAGCCCAAUCAUCCUAAUCCCCUAGACUGUGUAAGGGCCGAUCUGUAAGGAGGAUCCCCUUAGCAGAUGCAGUCAUUACCAUUUGUUAAUACCUAUCCAAUCCUUUCAAGAGUGGAUGCUACUUAUUGACAUGCAUUGUUCUUACAUGCUUAUUAGUGUCUACUCAAUUAAUUGUUGUAAUGUGCUCAGCUUCUACCAGUGUUGUAGUUCUCAAGACCGAGACCAGUCCAGUCUUGAGACCACAUAUGGGUCUUGUCUUGGUGUCAGCUACAUUCGUACUUGGUCGUGACUCAGUCUCAGACAGUGAGGACUCGUAAUUUCUUCCCUAGACCAGUGGAGUAAAAACACUCAAACAUAUACACUCCCAUCUUGAAACAUUAUCUUAACAACCGUUAUCUAUUAUAGACAUGGUUACGCAGUGGUGAACCUAUAGGUCUUCAGUAUGUGACAGGUUAGUACAGUGGUGAACCUAUAGGUCUUCAGUGUGUGACAGGUUAGUACAGUGGUGAACCUAUAGGUCUUCAGUGGUGAACCUAUAGGUCUUCAGUGUGUAACAGGUUAGUACAGUGGUGAACCUAUAGGUCUUCAGUGUGUGACAGGUUAGUACAGUGGUGAACCUAUAGGUCUUCAGUGUGUAACAGGUUAGUACAGUGGUGAACCUAUAGGCCUUCAGUAUGUGACAGGUUAGUACAGUGGUGAACCUAUAGGCCUUCAGUGUGUGACAGGUUAGCACAGUGGUGAACCUAUAGGCAUUCAGUGUGUGACAGGUUAGUACAGUGGUGAACCUAUAGGUCUUCAGUGUGACAGGUUAGUACAGUGGUGAACCUAUAGGUCUUCAGUGUGACAGGUUAGUACAGUGGUGAACCUAUAGGCCUUCAGUGUGUGACAGGUUAGUACAGUGGUGAACCUAUAGGCCUUCAGUGUGUGAUAGGUUAGUACAGUGGUGAACCUAUAGGCCUUCAGUGUGUGACAGGUUAGUACAGUGGUGAACCUAUAGGUCUUCAGUAUGUAACUGGUUAGUACAGUGGUGAACCUAUAGGUCUUCAGUGUGUGACAGGUUAGUACAGUGGUGAACCUAUAGGCCUUCAGUGUGUGACAGGUUAGUACAGUGGUGAACCUAUAGGCCUUCAGUGUGUGACAGGUUGGUGAUUCUGAAAGGACAGCAACCGUAAUACCAGACACUCAUGUAGGAGAGUGCACUUUUUGUAAAACACAAAGGGACAGUGGUGUAGUGGAGGUAUUUUUUCAGUGGGAAUUGCCUAUACUCACUUAAUCCUAUUGAUGCGUAUCAAAGUAGUGUAGUGGAGUAUACGCAGGUAUUUUUUCAGUGGGCAUUGCCUAUACUCACUUAAUCCUAUUGAUGCGUAUCAAAGUAGUGUAGUGGAGGCAGUGGCGACCCAUCAUUAAGGGCAGUUCUUCAGUCCCACCUGUUUAGCAGGGGGUGUGCCUGUUUUGCAUGUUAUUUUGUCAUUAAUAUGUGUCACAUAUCAGUUUGAAAAAAAUGAAUGAGUUAAUAAAGCUUCAUACAAACAUGGUAUUUAUUUUCUUUCUUGAGUGAGGGAGCUCCAAAAUGCAGAUGUUUCCACUUAGUUCAGUGCUUUCUGUGGUGGGGCAGCCAGCGGAAAAUACUGAGCGUAGGAGUUGGUAAAGUUCUCUUGUUGCGCCUUGAAAGUAUGACUCAGUGUUCUGUCACUCAUGGGGACACUACGUCACGGCAAAAUUCAAGCCCCUUGGGUGCUGCCAUAGAGUUACAUUAGAAGUGCCCAUCCAAUAAGGCUCAAGGUCAUUGGCCACAGAUAAAAUGAUGUCAAAUCAUGUUAUAUCUACCAUAGCUUUGAUUGGAUGGAUCAUGUCAACAUCAUACUUUCUAAAUCUUAGCUAGUAAGCUAGCAGUCAUGAUCAUGAAUCUAGUUAGCAAUCUACAGGCAAAUCCUUUUCAAUCCUUG